GAUCAGUGAUGACUGUAUCCCGAUCCUGAAGGUGCAUUGUGUUGAAAACACUCCACGGAUCUGGCUACUGAGAU